CCCUGCUGCAUUAUGGACUCUAAACGACUACGGAGGAGCCGAUGAAAUAUAUGCUAUUCUCCCGUUCUGUACGAACGUUUUUUCAAACACACCGAGAACUGAGGCUAUAACCGUCCCAUCAACUCCCCCGGGAAACUCGAGCCAAUCACGCCAUAUUCGAGAACCCAAGAUGCAACGCAGAACUCAGGCGCAAGUGCAUUGCGCAGAAUCACCCCGGCCCGAGAAGUGUUACUGAGCUGGAAACCUACGGCUUCAAGAAACGGCGCUCUAUGGACAAGACUCCAACGAUACAUGCCUGGCAGAAUCUGGAAUGCCGGUAUCCGCGAUUUGUCAGAACAGCCCACGUCAAAAAAGCCAAGACUCCUCCCCAGCGUAUAACGGCACAGAAGACCAUACACAACGAGAGCCGCGGAGGAUUUCGGCGCACCGGACAAUCACAAUAAAACACCGAAACCAGAUGAUUUCAACGUUUUAAAUGACAUUUCAGAGGUAGACGAUUUGAUGU